AACGAACGCUGGCGGCGUGCCUAACACAUGCAAGUCGAACGAAUGUAGCAAUACAUUAGUGGCGCACGGGUGAGUAACACGUGGGAAUCUGCCCUUUAGUUCGGAAUAACACCGGGAAACUGGUGCUAAUACCGGAUACGCCCUUCGGGGGAAAGUUUUUCGCUAAAGGAUGAGCCCGCGUUGGAUUAGCUAGUUGGUGGGGUAAUGGCCUACCAAGGCGACGAUCCAUAGCUGAUCUUAGAGGAUGAUCAGCCACACUGGGACUGAGACACGGCCCAGACUCCUACGGGAGGCAGCAGUGGGGAAUAUUGGACAAUGGGGGAAACCCUGAUCCAGCAACGCCGCGUGGAUGAUGAAGGUCUUCGGAUUGUAAAGUCCUUUUGGCGGGGACGAUGAUGACGGUACCCGCAGAAUAAGCUCCGGCUAACUUCGUG
rnacentral:rRNA from 1 species